GACCCGCGGCCCCUUACGAUGCGGACCGUCAGCGGGCUCUGCUCGAGGGACCGUUCCACCGGGCGCCCGUUCAGCAGCAAAGCCU
rnacentral:lncRNA from 1 species